ACCAGUAUAUAUGUGUGCAUCUGAAGAAAAGUUUUACUAACAUAUUUUUCUUACUAUGUGUGAUGUGCUCAGAUAUUUUAAACAGUCUCUUUUAUUAUUUUUUUAAAUUAUGGCUAUAAUUCACUAAAUUGAUUCAUGAUCCACUAAUGGGUAGUGACUUAUAGUUUGAAAAAGUGUUUGAAGCUAAUAUACUAUCAAUAUAUACUAUAUAUAUAUAACAAAUAUCAACAAGCCAUGUUAUAAUGAAGCAGCUCUACAGUGAAUAUUUGCUUAAAAUUAGCAACAAUAUGGAUCGCUUUUCAUAGCUAUUGAUGGAGGCUUAGGCCAGGAGCUACUAGUUGCUUCCUGCAAAGACCCAUCAGUAUCCAUGUUUCUCUGUUUCUCAGGCAGUCAGGUGUGAUCAUAUGACUGAAUUUUUGCCAGGGAUAUGAGUGGAGGUGAUUGUGUUUUUUCUAGUCCUGCCUUUACAAACCUCCCCACAAAAAUCCCUGGCCCUCUUCCCACGCAUGCUGCUGGCUGAGUAGAGAACUCUGGUGAUUCUCAGGAGGGAGAGUCCACCUCCAGUCCAUUUGUGCUGCGAUAGCUAAUACAGGAACCGUAAACCACAAGUGAAACUGCUGGAUGACACUAAGAGUAGUAAUAAUGUUCAUUUCCUGAUGUCAGAAAGAUGGAAAAAGGAAGUACACACUUCUGCAAUUGAAUUGAACUAAAGCAAUUCAAUGAUGCCGGCUUUGGUUGAAAUGAUGAGUCUGGCCACUAACAGAGUUUCCUUACAAGCAGGCCAUGGCCAAAAGGAGAUCAACAGACAAGAUGCCAAAAUCAUCAGCAGGACCUGCCAUUGGAUUCCUUUGAAUCUUUUCUAAAAGCAGUAACAAUAAUAUCAGAAUAAUCACCAUGCAAUAAGAGUUGAAUGUGUGAGACAGACUUUAUAUAUUACUGCAUUCAAUCCUCAACUUCUAUUGAGGCGGAUGGUAUCAUAACUUUCUUACCAAACUCAACAACAACUACUUGCUCAGGACCACAAACUUGUAAGUGAGGAAACUUUUGAAACCUGGUCCAUUUAUCCCCAACACUCAUGUUCUUUCCUUUCAAUGUUCUUGCCCUUCGGACUUAGAUCAGGUGGGUGUACAAAGGUAUCCAAGGGAACAGAGUCUUCUUAGCCUCUCUCUAAGGAACUGGACAACACUUGUAAUCGGGACCUUGAACCAAUAAUUCUAACUCAGUGUGACUCUCUUUUUGUUCGUCCUACAUCAUUCUUGGCCCUCAUGGUCUGGUCUGGGAUGUGAUGCUAGACCUUGCUUAUCAUCUUCAUAAGGUUGAAGUUCUCUGUCUUUCUGACUGAGAUGCUGGGCCCGUUUUACUUCCUGUGACCUUUGUCUGUGUUCAAUAUCAGCAUCAUUUUUUCCCAUGAUGAUGAGGUGGGGGAGCAGGAGGGCACAAUAGUGUGAGUGCCAAACUUGAAACAAGAUUCUCAUCUCCAGGUCUGUGGUUCCAAACUCUAUGCGACAGCUCCCUGGGUCACCCCAAGAAAUUCACAGAGACGCCAAGGAAUGAUGCAAACUUCUGAGGAAAACAGUGACACUCAACAUCUACCAAAUAGCACAUGAACCAAUGGCUCAAGGGAGUUCACGGCUUCAAAAUGAGAUCACAUUACACUUCUUUUGAUGACGUAUCUGUGCAAAGCUCUUUUUAAAAAAUUGUUGAGCUAAAAGGAAUUUUAUCUGAUUCUAAGGUUUCAGAAGCUGUGUAGGACCCAACAAGUAGGCACACACAUCCUAUCAGUAAGUAGUUGUGACUGUUUAAGAAGGAAAUAGUGAUUAUUUCUCCUCUCAAAUUAUGCUUUUUUCCCCCUAAACAUCUAGUGCAUUGUUAGGACAUAAGGACUUACUCAGUUGUUUGGACCUACCUACUUAAUAAAUAGAACUUAAUAAGGUAUUUUUCUGGGCUC
rnacentral:lncRNA from 1 species